CCUACGUGUGGCAGCAGUGAGGAAUAUUGUUCAAUGGGCGCAACCCUGAACCAGCGAAGUAGCGUGAGUGAUGACUUCCCUCCGUGUGUUACGCUUUUUUUGUAGGGAAAUACAUUGCGGUACGUGUUCCUUUCUCUCUGUACUUUAUCAAUACUGCACGGCUAACUCCGUGCCAGCAGCAGCGGUAAUCCGGAUGAUCCGGGCGUUAUGCGGAUGUACUGGGUGUAAAGGGAGCGUCGAUGGCUUCUGAAGUCAGGUGGGAAGAUCUGCGGCUCAACCGUAAAAUUGCAAUGGAUACUGGCAGGCUUGAGUACAGUAGAGGUAGGUGGAAUUCGUGGUGUAGCGGUGAAAUGCGUAGAUAUCACGAAGAACUCCGAUUGCGAAGGCAGCUUACUAAACUGCAACUGACAUUGAGGCUCGAAAGCGUGGGUAUCAAACAGGAUUAGAUACCCCUGUAGUC
rnacentral:rRNA from 1 species